rnacentral:rRNA from 1 species
GUUAAAUGUUCUUCGUGAACAUAGCGAACUGCUCAGUAACACGUGGAUAACCUACCCUUGGGACUGGGAUAACCCCGGGAAACUGGGGAUAAUACCGGAUAGAUCAGGGAUGCUGGAAUGCGCCCUGAUCCAAAGCUCCGGCGCCCAAGGAUGGGCCUGCGGCCUAUCAGGUUGUAGUGGGUGUAACGUACCUACUAGCCGACGACGGGUACGGGUUGUGAGAGCAAGAGCCCGGAGAUGGAUUCUGAGACACGAAUCCAGGCCCUACGGGGUGCAGCAGGCGCGAAACCUUUACAAUGUGCGAAAGCAUGAUAAGGGAACUCCGAGUGCCAGCAUCUAAUGCUGGCUGUCCUUGUGCCUAAAACGCACAAGAUAGCAAGGGCCGGGUAAGACCGGUGCCAGCCGCCGCGGUAACACCGGCGGCCCGAGUGGUAGCCGCUAUUAUUGGGUCUAAAGGGUCCGUAGCCGGUUCGAUAAGUCCUCUGGGAAAUCUGGUUGCUUAACAAUCAGACUGCCAAGGGAUACUGUCGAACUUGAGACCGGGAGAGGUAAGAGGUACUUCAGGGGUAGGAGUGAAAUCUUGUAAUCCCUGGGGGACCAUCUGUGGCGAAGGCGUCUUACCAGAACGGGUCUGACGGUGAGGGACGAAAGCUGGGGGCGCAAACCGGAUUAGAUACCCGGGUAGUCCCAGCCGUAAACGAUGCUCGCUAUGUGUCACGU